rnacentral:rRNA from 1 species
AACGAACGCUGGCGGCAGGCCUAAAACAUGCAAGUCGAACGGGUGUAGCAAUACAUCAGUGGCGCACGUGUGAGUAACGCGUGGGAACGUGCCCUUCAGUACGGGACAACGUCGGGAAACUGACGCUAAUACCGUAUAAUAUCUCCGGAUCAAAGAUUUAUCGCUGAGGGAGCGGCCCGCGUCUGAUUAGCUAGUUGGUGAGGUAAUGGCUCACCAAGGCUACGAUCAGUAGCGGGUCUGAGAGGAUGAUCUGCCACACUGGGACUGAGACACGGCCCAGACUCCUACGGGAGGCAGCAGUUAGGAAUAUUGGACAAUGGGGGAAACCCUGAUCCAGCCAUGCCGCGUGUGUGAUGAAGGCCCUAGGGUUGUAAAGCACUUUCGUUGGGGAUGAUAAUGACCGUACCCAAAGAAGAAGCCACGGCUAAAUUCGUGCCAGCCGCCGCCGUAA